rnacentral:rRNA from 1 species
GGGUGAGUAACACGUGGGUAACCUGCCUCAAAGAGGGGGAUAGCCUCCCGAAAGGGAGAUUAAUACCGCAUAGAAGGUAAAAAUCGCAUGAUAAAUGCCUUAAAGGAGCAAUCCGCUUUGAGAUGGGCCCGCGUCGCAUUAGCUAGUUGGAGGGAUAAAAGCCCCCCAAGGCGACGAUGCGUAGCCGACCUGAGAGGGUGAACGGCCACAUUGGAACUGAGAUACGGUCCAGACUCCUACGGGAGGCAGCAGUGGGGAAUAUUGCACAAUGGGGGAAACCCUGAUGCAGCAACGCCGCGUGAGUGAAGAAGGUUUUCGGA